rnacentral:rRNA from 1 species
CCAGACUCCUACGGGAGGCAGCAGUGGGGAAUAUUGCACAAUGGGGGGAACCCUGAUGCAGCGACGCCGCGUGGGCGAGGAAGUAUUUCGGUAUGUAAAGCCCUAUCGGCAGGGAAGAAGAAAUGACGGUACCUGAGUAAGAAGCCCCGGCUAACUACGUGCCAGCAGCCGCGGUAAUACGUAGGGGGCAAGCGUUAUCCGGAAUUACUGGGUGUAAAGGGAGCGUAGACGGUGAAGUAAGUCUGGAGUGAAAGGCGGGGGCCCAACCCCCGGACUGCUCUGGAAACUAUUUGACUGGAGUGCAGGAGAGGUAAGCGGAAUUCCUAGUGUAGCGGUGAAAUGCGUAGAUAUUAGGAGGAACACCAGUGGCGAAGGCGGCUUACUGGACUGUAACUGACGUUGAGGCUCGAAAGCGUGGGGAGCAAACAGGAUUAGAUACCCGAGUA